rnacentral:rRNA from 1 species
CCUACGGGAGGCAGCAGUGGGGAAUAUUGCUCAAUGGGCGCAAGCCUGAUGCAGCAACGCCGCGUGAAGGAAGACGGCUCUCGGAUUGUAAACUUCUGUUCUUAGUGAAGAAUAAUGACGGUAACUAAGGAGCAAGCCACGGCCAAAUACGUGCCAGCAGCCGCGGUAAUACGUAGGUUGCAAGCGUUGUCCGGAAUUACUGGGUGUAAAGGGAGCGUAGGCGGGAAGCCAAGUCAGCUGUGAAAACUACGGGCUUAACCUCUAGACUGCAGUUGAAACUGGCUUUCUUGAGUGAAGUAGAGGUAGGCGGAAUUCCGGGUGUAGCGGUGAAAUGCGUAGAUAUUCGGAGGAACACCGGUGGCGAAGGCAGCCAACUGGGCUUUAACUGACGCUGAGGCUCGAAAGUGUGGGGAGCAAACAGGAUUAGAUACCCUGGUAGUC